rnacentral:rRNA from 1 species
GCGGGGUAAAGGCCCACCAAGGCAACGAUGGGUAGCCGGCCUGAGAGGGUGAUCGGCCACAUUGGGACUGAGAUACGGCCCAGACUCCUACGGGAGGCAGCAGUAGGGAAUUUUGCGCAAUGGACGAAAGUCUGACGCAGCAACACCGUGUGAGGGAUGAAGCAUUUCGGUGUGUAAACCUCUGUCGAUGAUGAAUAAUGUUUCGGGGAGUGGAAAGCCUCGGAAUUGAAGGUAAUCAUGAAGGAAGCACCGGCUAACUCUGUGCCAGCAGCCGCGGUAAUACAGGGGGUGCAAGCGUUGUUCGGAAUCACUGGGCGUAAAGGGAGCGUAGGCGGAACUACAAGACAGAGGUUAAAUCUCCGGGCUCAACCUGGAACUUGCCUUUGUGACUGUGGUUCUUGAGUAUGGUAGAGGUUGGCGGAAUUUCCGGUGUAGCGGUGGAAUGCGUAGAGAUCGGAAAGAACACCAGAGGCGAAGGCGGCCAACUGGACCAAUACUGACGCUGAGGCUCGAAAGCGUGGGGAGCAAACAGGAUUAGAUACCCUGGUAGUCCACGCUGUAAACGAUGAACACUAGAUGUCGGGAGGGGUUCCUUCCGGUGUCGUCGCUAACGCAGUAAGUGUUCCGCCUGGGG